rnacentral:sRNA from 1 species
ACCGGCUGCCUCCGGGCGUUUCCUCCCUGUACUUGGCCCCGUCAGCACCAGCUGGCGGGGUCUUUUUCAUUGCAC